rnacentral:rRNA from 1 species
CCUACGGGAGGCAGCAGUAAGGAAUAUUGGUCAAUGGACGCAAGUCUGAACCAGCCAUGCCGCGUGGAGGAUGAAGGUCCUCUGGAUUGUAAACUUCUUUUAUCGGAGAAGAAACCCAUACUUUCUAGUGUGGUUGACGGUACCCGAUGAAUAAGCACCGGCUAACUCCGUGCCAGCAGCCGCGGUAAUACGGAGGGUGCAAGCGUUAUCCGGAUUCACUGGGUUUAAAGGGUGCGUAGGUGGGUUGGUAAGUCAGUGGUGAAAUCUCCGGGCUUAACUCGGAAACUGCCGUUGAUACUAUCAAUCUUGAAUGUUGUGGAGGUAAGCGGAAUAUGUCAUGUAGCGGUGAAAUGCUUAGAUAUGACAUAGAACACCGAUAGCGAAGGCAGCUUGCUACACAAUAAUUGACACUGAGGCACGAAAGCGUGGGGAUCAAACAG